AGGCAUUCAGUGGGUUACUUAGUGGGUUGUCGAACCGGCAACAACAACAACAACAACCUAAACAAGGAAGAAAAUGAGACCAUGGUUUCCCGAAACAGAAGUAAAAUCUGAAUACAAAUAAACUGUUUUCUUUUUCUUGAUGUGAAUUAAAUAAAAUGUAUUUUCUUGCAAA